AGCGAACGUUAGCGGCGCGCCUAACACAUGCAAGUCGAACGAACCUUCGGGUUAGUGGCGGACGGGUGAGUAACGCGUGAGAAUCUGCCCUCAGGAGGGGGAUAACGGCUGGAAACGGCCGCUAAUACCCCAUAUGCCGAGAGGUGAAAUGAAUUUCGCCUGAGGAUGAGCUCGCGUCUGAUUAGCUUGUUGGUGGGGUAAUGGCCUACCAAGGCGACGAUCAGUAGCUGGUCUGAGAGGAUGAUCAGCCACACUGGGACUGAGACACGGCCCAGACUCCUACGGGAGGCAGCAGUGGGGAAUUUUCCGCAAUGGGCGAAAGCCUGACGGAGCAACGCCGCGUGAGGGAUGAAGGCCUCUGGGCUGUAAACCUCUUUUUAUCAAGGAAGAAGAUCUGACGGUACUUGAUGAAUAAGCCACGGCUAAUUCCGUG
rnacentral:rRNA from 1 species